AACGGCUCAGUGAGGCCUCCGGACUGGCCCAGGGAGGUGGGCAACUACCACCCAGGUGCCGGAAAGUUGUACGAACUCGGUCGUUUAGAGGAAGUAAAAGUCGUAACAAGGUCUCCGUUGGUGAACCAGCGGAGGGAUCAUUA
rnacentral:rRNA from 1 species